rnacentral:ncRNA from 1 species
AAAAAAGGUUAGUCGCAAGAAGUCAGCAGAAGCCAUAGUAGUGAAAUAAGUUCAUGAAGGGC